AGCAUGGUGAUUGUGGAAAAUGUAGACAUUUAUAAGAAGGAUUUGCAGUUAUUCUAUGACCGGUGCGAGUUGACACAAUCAAGGAUUUACCUGGAGGACGCCUUUAUGAGAUGUACUCGAUGGAAUCUAAAUUUCAGGAGAGGAUUCGGUAGCAAACAAUGUGA